rnacentral:lncRNA from 1 species
UGUGAGCCCCUUGAUUUCAGAGACAGUCUUUUGUUACUAUAUCCACUGCGUUUAGCAUAGCUCGUAGCACAUAGUAGAGGAAUGACUGGAAUCCAAUUUAUGCAUUAGUUGGAAUUGCUUGAAUUAUGAAGCACAGUCAUUUCACUUUCCUGCUCAAAGGCCUUUAAUAAUUCCCUGUUCCCUACUGAAAAAAMCACAAACUCCUCAAUCCUAACCUUGAAACAUCAUCUAAAAUUUGAUUCCAAUGGAUAAAUUCUUCCAGAUUGUCCCCUUUAAUUUCUAAUAGAUAUCACAAUAGAUCCAAACUGGAUCCUGGGAAUGCCUGAUUGGCCCCAAGCAUUCUCUCAUGCAACUCCACCUUCCAUAUAAGCUGCUCUUCCCCAGCCACUGCUUACCCCAGUAGAAUCCAUCCCAGAAGGAUGCAUGAAUGCAAUCUCCUUAGCAAAAUCCUCUCCUGCUCCUCAAUAAGAUGUGAAUUUCAUUUCUCUUCUUGCACAGCCAAAACCUGCAAGGUGGUUGAGGCAGGAAGUAGGGGUGGCUCUUACCUUGCACGGAACUGGAUAUGAUCCACCCCCCACACCCUGAGAUUGUGCUGCAGGACAAAUUAUGGAAUGGAAGUCUGACUCCUGCUGAGCACCUGUCAGCAUUCAGAGCAGUGGAGCAUUUCUUCUAAAAUGGGACCACAGGGGCUGUGACCUUCAUGUGACAUUGGGCCCCAGCACAUCAAUCUACAGUGGUUGCCUCACUGGGUGCAGCGACGUGUGCCUCUGGACGCAGCUUCUUGGGAGACUGAGCCACGUGGAGCACUUGAUCCCAGGAGAUAAAKGCCAGCCUGGGCAACAUAAUGAGGUCUGUCUCAAAAAUAAUAAUAACUAUUACUAUUAUUAAAAUGGCUGCCUCUCCAUAAAAAGACCAUAAAAGAUACAAUCCCAAUAAAAGGCAAAAUAAAGAUUCUCUAUUUUAAAAG